UACGAAGGGGGCUAGCGUUGCUCGGAAUCACUGGGCGUAAAGCGCACGUAGGCGGCUUUCUAAGUCAGGGGUGAAAUCCUGGAGCUCAACUCCAGAACUGCCUUUGAUACUGGAGAGCUCGAGUCCGGAAGAGGUGAGUGGAACUGCGAGUGUAGAGGUGAAAUUCGUAGAUAUUCGCAAGAACACCAGUGGCGAAGGCGGCUCACUGGUCCGGUACUGACGCUGAGGUGCGAAAGCGUGGGGAGCAAGCAGG
rnacentral:rRNA from 1 species